AGCUGGUUAGUUAAGUUAACGUGCGUUUUGAAAGCGUGAAAUAUAGAUAAGUCUAUAUCAGUUU
rnacentral:tRNA from 1 species